UGAGGGAGGCCUGCAGGGGACAGAGAGCACAGGGCCCUGGGAACCCACAGAACCUGAAUAGGACGCGGGCGACCAGGAGUCUCCCCUGGCAACGCCAACCCUCAGUGUUCAGAGAUGUCCAGGAAGACCUUGCCGGCAGGAUUAUCCAUGCACGCGGCACUGCUCAAAGCAGAGGCCAACUCUCAUGCAGGUCUCUACCCUGGUGCCUUCUCAGAGCUGCCACAGAGGAGGUGCUCCACGGGUGUUUUUAAAGGAAUCGCCAUGAAGAAAUAAGGUGUCGGGGACUGACACGUGGAUUCUCUCCAGCACAUCAACUCACGGCACUUUCUGAAGGGCCCGGGCCACGGAGCCUGAAGACCCAGCUGGUUCGACGUCUCUCUCUGCCUCUCUUUCUCAUUAACUCUCAUCCUUUCUCUCUCUCUCUCUUUCCCCUCCCUCUACCCCCAGAGGAGGGCCUUUUCCAGAACACUUAACCUCUCUGCGCCUGCUUCCCAAUGAGUGAAACAAGAGAAUCCCACGAAAUCAUAAAUGAGUGAGUCUUGUAAACUGUAACUCAUCAGGCAAGGGCUGGUUAUUGUAACGGCGUGGCCCCGUUGUUCGCCAGGGCAGCAGCCAUGCUGCGGGAAACUGCAAACUCAGCAAAGCGAACGGUGGUGUUUGCUGAGUGGACACGGUCUCUGCCACCAAGUCUUCCUGGGAAGGCCUCGGAGGGGUGAGGGAAGCCCACAUGGGGAGCCUCUGCCGUUUCCAAAAAGGAGCCUGCAAUUCCGGAGCCUGCAUCUCCACUGGGAUCUGUGCCUGUGUCUGCCCCCUGGGUCUUUCUUUGAGGUUUUUCAUCCUCCUGUGAUGAUUGGUGGGGGGAUGGAGAUAAGUGUCCUGUCCCCGCCCCCAGAAGAGCAAUCUCUCUACAAAACUCUUUCAGAAGCAGCCUGGGCGGAUCUGACUGCUGAGGCAUUGAUGCCCAGGAGCUGUCUGUGCAGGCAGGUGGGUGGAGGAAGCUGGCGGCCCCUAAGACCCCAGCCCUGGUGAUGCCCACUGUGGGGGCCUUAGGCAGGCCUGGGCUUACAGUCCGUCUCAGCUCAACUUGGACACAUGCCGUCUUUUCUUCAUCCUCCUCUUCUUGAAAGGCUUGUUUAUUCAGCUGGAAAAUAGACGUUUUUCAGCAGAUUUUCUCUAUUCAGAAAUAGACUAAAGCUUCUGCUGGAGUCUGGCAUUAUCCCAGAGAAUGGAGACCCACGGGCCUUCAGCAGUGCACCGCCCUCAGGGAAGUCAUCCAGUUUGGGCAUCCUGACUCGGUUCUCCCACAGUGUCCUUCUCAUCUGCUGUAGCCGAGGUCAGGGAGAAGGCCCUGGGUGGUGUCUGGGCUGAGAGGGUCAAUUGUGCCACCUGCUUCAGACGCCCCAUGGGCUGGCGACUCUUCUGGUCUUUAGUGCUGACACCCACAGGCCUGGCUCACAGUGGGUGCUGGGUCAGGGCUGGUGGAGAACAAUAGUGCUGAGCCAGGACCCGCCCAUGUGUUAGAGAAAGGCAGCAGCUUGGAAACCUGUAGGUGGGUCUUCCAUCCACUAAGUCACCAAGAACUAGGAGCCUGCAGCCAGUUGAGAGGAUUCUUGAGGUGCUCUGCCCCCAGCUGGGGCCCUGAGCCCCCACGAGCCUUCCGCCUGGGGCAUCUGAUGACUCACGUGCACCACAGCACAGCAGCCCAGUGGGCUGGGAGUUGGGAGCUGGAAGAUGAAAGCCACCCACUCUUAUCUGCCUCCGAGGAGUCGCAAUCAAGAGGGAGGAUGCCCCCAUAAGAAAUGCAGAUUCUGUGACCUUCAGAGGCAGCUGGAGAAAGAAAAGAUGGAGGAGAUCACGGCCCAGCAAUUCCAGCCUGGGGCGGGCGCGGGCUCAAUGAUAUCCUUCAGGUCCUAAUCCCCGAGUGUGGCUGUGUGUGACCCGAGUCCCUUCUGCCUGCCAGGAGUGAGGCCACCUGAGGUCGCAGAAAGGACUGGGGAGGAGACAGGCGCAGGGUGAUCCGGAUCCCAUAUUUAAUUGAUGGUAAGGAGGCCUCCUCACUUCUCCCUGAGCCUGACAAACAUGGCUAACCUCCUUUGGAGAAAGUUCUGUGAAUAAUGUGUCUGCCGCAGGCUGGCGAAGUACAGUGUUCUCCAGAAAUCCAGUGGUCUGCACCAUCAGUGUCCUGGGCUCGCUGCCUCUGGAGACUCCCACGCCCCCAGCCAAAGCCGGAACCCUCCCCUGAAGCCUCUGCCAUGGCCUGUCCUGCCUUGGGGAGGUGGAGACCCUCGGCGUGCUGGUGUCCCACCUCACUGUGCCUCUCAGCUUCUUUGUUUCUGCCCAAAAUACAGGCUCCUGAGUAGCCUCCUGUGGGUGUCCUGGGACUGUCACCUGCCCUCUUUCAGCCAGGUGGGCUCAAACGUCAGGGGCACCAUCUCUGGUCCAGAUUGGGGUCUCUCUCGGUUCAUUUAUCCAGGAUCUUUUGGCAAAAAGAGAAAGACCAAGGAUUAUCCCCUUUCAGGAGAGCUCAGCCUGCUUUUUCGGGCUCUUCAAGGCCCAUCCAUUCAUGCACGGAGAAAUAACACGAAUGCUGGUGUGGAAAUGAUGCCCGGAUACCUUUCCAAAGGCUCCAUAGCCCACUCUUCCAGUAUCCAUCCUGGUCAUGCAGGCGCUGACCCACAUGUUUCUGGAUUAGGAAGGAAAGCAAAGGCCAGGAGGCGGAGGCUGACCCCUUUAUCUUCUGAUAAACCCGAGAGCAGAACAGCCUCAACAAGGACGAUUACAGCAGGGAAAUGGCAUUCCUGGCCAGUGGACAAGCACCUCCUUUAACCUACAGCUCAGAGCCUCACUUUGACUUGCCUCCUGUGGGGUGCUGGUCAGUAGGGGCUGAAUUCUGGGGUGCUAGGCAUCCCUCCACCAUGCAGGCCCCACAAAAGCAGCCGAGGAGGGAGAGUGCUAGGAAGCAGACAGCCACACAGACCACUGGGCUCCAUCAGGCCUCUCACUGCAGGAAGCACAGGCCAGCAAGGCCAGAGUUAAUUUCUCAGAAUAAUUGCUAAUAAUACAAAUCAACCUUUCUGGGCACUGAGUACACACCAGGCCCUGUGCUAAGCGCUUCUAACCUAAGCGUCACCUCAUUGCCUGCUAAUACCCUCUCUAGGAAAUAGGGACUACUAUAAGUCCUGCCCACAGACAUGAAAACCACAGCUGUGGGUUGACCCUCUCUGCGUCUGUAUCUAAUACUGCACCUGUUUUCUAUGAAAUCAGGACAAUAUGAUUCAUAGGGCAAAAUGAUUAUUUGUUACACAUGGAGAAAAACAAAAGCUCAAAGUAUGUUUUCUGAAGGAGAAACAAAAUCCAGACAUUUUCCAAGCUUCAAGUGUGAAUAUACUUACAUGGAUGAAAGAUUUAAAGAAUAACAAUAAAAAACCCUUAAUGGUAAAAAUUUGUUGACUCAGCAUGUUUCAGAUGUAGCCACGGUGAGCUGGCCUCUUUGGAGACAGCUUUGCUUGUUAAAGAGAAAAGGAUGCAAAGGGCUUGCUUUUUAUCUCAGUUGGUGAAGGUUGGAGCUGAAUGUUUUGAACAAAAGUAAUUGCCUAUGUCUAAAUGUAAAAUCAC
rnacentral:lncRNA from 1 species